UCAUAGACAGGAUUGUUUAAAUUUAGUUAACUCUCCAUGCUCUUCAGACUGUGAUACUGUGUAAAUGUCUAUUCUGCUCUGGUUUGUGUGAACUGGGAUGUUGGGGGUGUUUGUGGUUAUCUUACCUGGGGAAGUUCUUAUGUUUAUCUUGCUUUUCAUGUGUCUUUCUGUAGACAUAUCUGAAGAGAUGGAUUAAGAAUGCUUUGGAUUAAGGAUUGUGGAGCACAUUUCAAUCAUUUUAGGAUUGUCAAAAGGAGGAUUGAGGAGGAUCAGAUCAAUAAUGGAGGCAAUGGUAUGACUCCAAGUGCUAUUGUCACAGAUGAAAUUGGCAGUAUUGACCUUAUACUAAAAGGCAAGGGUUGAAAGUGAUUAUAUAUAUAUAUACAUCUACCUUAAAACAUUUGCAAACAUCUUAUGCAGUUACCUUUAGCUACAAUUGCUUUGCUCUUUAAACCUUGGCAAUUGUGGCAAAAUUAUAUUGCCCAUUUUGUAACAGUUUAUUUUGCUCCCUUCCCCCCUUUUUUGUUUUAAUAGGGACUAAUGUGGGAAGAACUGGCUAAUUUGUCACAGUGCUUAGUUACAACUGUUAAUGUGUGACCUGCUGUUGGUGUACAUGUGGGUACAGGGUGUCUUUAAUUCCAACCAGAUAGAGUAUAAUAUCAAUACUGCUAAAUCUGCAUGUCCUCUGUGUGACUGAUAUAGCGUUGCUAUUUCAUUUUUUUAAGACAAAAUGAAAGCAAAAUAGAAUUCCAAUGUAUUGGUGUAGAUAAUCUAGUUGGGAAUACUUUUAAGUCUCACCUUCCCCUUUUAAACUAAUAUUCAUAAUUGACUCAUGUUUAAAACACUUUAAUUUACAAAUUAAAUUGCAGAUGGGAGCAUUAGGUUUAGUUUAGACUUAGGGUGGGUAGCAAUACCAGUAAACUUUUCAACUACAUAACUUUUUGCAACCACAAAACCUGUAAUACGCUGUACAGUAACAAGUGUUGGCAUUAUCAGUUGAACUGUAAAUAUAAAAUGCUUCUUCCAAUUAGUCUCUAUGAUGAUUAAGUUUCUAAAAUUUAUCUGAACACCAUUCAGAAACUUGUUUUGGGGAAUUUGAUAGUUAUUGAUGUACAUCUGUUAAACUGAUGACAGACAUAACUCAUCAUUCCCCAGAAACCUUUUUUGAUUACAGUAUCUAACAUUUUGCCUCCUCUUUUUUGGUUUUGCUGGUUAUAAAGGUUUGGAUUGGAGAGGGCUCACUGGAUCCCAAUCCUUGGAGCUGGAUCAUUGGAUUCAAAUCAUAAUGUGGAUAGGAUAGGGAGGAUGAAUUACAAGGAUUCAUGGAGCGGGAUCAGAUUACCAGGAACAUAGGAGUGGAUUCCUGCCCCAACCAAACCGCAUUCGUGUGGAUAUUUUUUUUUUUUAUUCAACUUAAUUGGCUAUUCCAAAGAUUUUUUUUUUCCUAUUUUUGACGAUUGGAGCCCUUAAGAUGCACGAUGGAAUUGUGUUUUGCAUUUUUUGGUAAAAGGAGCAAAGCGAGGACCUGGAGAUAAUACGCUGGAGCAAUCUCCUUGGAAGGAUUCAGCACGAGUAGAUGGUAAACAUUUAAAGGGGAAAGGGGGGGUUUGUUUAAAUAGUAAAUCAGUAAGUCACUUCUAAAUUUAAAGAACAAAAUUGGAGUUGAAGAAUAAGUAGGUUUCCAAUUGGCUAUUGCCGUUUUUCUUUGAAAAAAAUAAACAUUUUUUAAAAAACUAUGCAUGGUUGUCCUUUUUCCUCUUCAUGUAAAAUUUUAAUUGGGUGACUAGUUUAUCAGUUAAUACUUUGAUAAGAUUCUGUUACGUGUUAGUAAAUUAAAGGUUCUUGAAAGAUUAUUUCUAAUAAAUGGAAUUAGCCAUCUUACUGUUAAUUAUAAAAGUCUUUUCGGGGAGAUAAGGUAAGAAUAAGGCAAUUGUGUAUAUAGUAUGUUAAAUGGGUGAUCUAGUUUCUGAAAGAUAAUCUUCCCAUACUUUGAUAAAAAUGAUUAAAUUUAUAGAUGUCUAUUUUUUGGUGAUCAUCUAGACAACAUAGGCUUUGUGCAGAAUCGGGUAGUGACUAGUUAAUGUUAACUUGGAGAUAGCCUUUGAGAUUUUCAAGCUUUUCUCAAAAAUUGGUAAGUAUUAAAUGUUAAAGUCCGUGCAGAUUAGAAAUCUUAACACAAAUUACAUUUUUUUUCUGAAAUGUAAUACACUAGAAUUUUAACUGCUUAUUUAUUGUUCAUGAGAAGCUGGGCUUUCUUUAUAAUUGUGCCUUGCAAAUCCUUCUCAACUAUAAUAUUCUGUAUCCAGAACAUACCAAAGCAGUGAUAUAUAUCUUAGUCUGCUCGUUCUUGUAUCUUUUUAUUUGAUAGCCCCUUGGUGCUAAAUUUUCAAUGAGUUGGGGGAGGAGAUUUUUACUUAAAAUCCCUAAUCUUUUUCUUUUGAUUUCCUCAUAGCUAGUCAAAACCAUCAAAACACUUUUUUCUGCACCCAAAAGAAAUAACUAAAUACUAACAUUUGCCUUGGAUGCUAAUAAGAGUUGGAAGCUGAAUUUAAGACCACUAUGGAGGUGACAUAAUUCGAAACCUAGGAAAAGCUAGACAUAAUCUUGGUAAUAGAAGAAGUGGCCCCAAGGGACUUGCAUAAGGACACGCAACCAAAACAUUUAGAUGAGCCUUGUGGAAUGUAAGGAAGAUCAGGGAUGUUAAAUUUAAAACUAAGAUUGCACUUGUAAAUUGGUUUAGAUUAAGGAAGUUACUAGUUUCUAUGCAGGAAUUCAAAAUACAAUGUUCAAGAAGUGGAAGGAUUUUAACUUUCAUGUAUAGAGUAUAAGUAUUUUUAAACAACUAAUUUUGGAAAGGUUAAUGUAAGCUAAACUUAAGCCUAUGUUCAUUGAAUGUGUUGGAAACCAGAUCAAGAUGAAAAAUUGCCUUCAGUGAAGAUUGAGUGCAUUUAGGCUAAGUUGAAAGCUGUGUUCUGCUAAAAACUUGAGUAGUCCAAACGUCAGAAUUGAGGUAUAGAAAGUACUGUCUGAUAAUAGGGUGUCUGAAGAUCAGAGGACUUGGCUGCAUAUUUAUAGAAGAUAGAUAGGCACCAGACCAGAUAGCUCAGAGCUGUGAGGGCAGAUGCAGACUUGUUUUUCAGUCUUAGGAAAUGAACCCUAAACCUCUGCCCAUUUUGGCAGCUGUAAGAAGAAAGUUGUACCAUUUUGCAACUAAAAAAGUAGCCCUGAAUUGUUCCCCUUUUCUCUCCCUAUUUAUGUUCCCUUAGAAUAGUGUAGGGAGCCUAUAAUUAGUUUGUUAUUUUCUAACCAAGGAAAAACUUUAAGAAGCAAUUACUUUUCAUAACGUCAGAUUGAAUAACCCACCUUGCUGUUCAGCCCACAUCCUUCUGGAAACAAAAGGCUGACCUGGUCCUUGAUGUGCUGCCUGCUUCUGCUACUGAUCCAUACUGCAGAACUUCUCAUUCAUCCCCAAGGCCUCCAAGCAAUGUCCAAUAGGGAAUCGACUCUAAAAGGAACCAGACCAACGUUUCCAGCCCCUUCAUUCUGGUGACUGAGGGAAGGAAGCAGUGGGAGGGGUUAUACAUGUGUAGUGGAUGUGAGGGAAACACAGACUGUCAAAUUACUCUAUCUCUUUAGUUUCUUUCUCAAAUAGGAUUCUGCAACCGUAUUAUUUCUAUUGUGUAAGUAUAGGGGAAGUUGAAGAUGGUGACCUUGAUUAAAUGUGUCUGAGGGGAAUAAAUGGAGUGUAUGAGAUAAGAGACAGUUGGUUAUGAAAGAUGUUGAAGUCUUGAAAUAAUGUGACCAUCUGAGGAAUUUUUUUUAAACCGGAGUUUAUAAAAAUAUCACUGAUACAGCCUGCCCCCUCAUUUCCCGCCACAGGAGACUUCUUGGACUGGAGACACUUGUUUAAUAAUAGCUUGUCUCCGAUAUUCCCAGUAGCUACCUCUCUGUGAGGAAAGGAUAGCAAACGUUAAGGACAUCAUCACACAAAGUUCCAGUAGCAGUGACGCCUACACGGAAGACUUGGAACUGCAAACAGAGGCUGGGGUCACCUCAGUGACAUCUGACGCCGUCCAACCACAAGUUCGAAUUUUGUUUUGUGGGGUGAGGAAGCAGACUGUACUAAAGGACUAAAAUUAUUUCUUGUCUGUACUUUCUCACUUGUUUUUAUUUUUUAAUUUUUUUGGCGGGAAGAGAGGGAAGUUCGGGUAAAAUUUCAUAUCCUAUCUGGAGUUAAGGGGAGGAUGGGAAAGCUCAGCCCUUCACCCAAGAAUAAGCCAGUAAUGACAUCUCAACGCGUGGGAAGUGUUUCCCUCAGCUGGGAGGAUCUGAGGCUGCACCCCAGUGGGAUUCCUUGCUAGAGUUAGAAGGCCACUCAGAGGCAGACGCAUAUUGUAGCAGGCGGAGGGUUUAGCUGGCUGGGGAUGAAGUAUGAGAAGGGAGGGACAUUCGAAGUCCUAGGGGCUUCCCCCAAUUUGGAGGCGCGGGCUGUGCUACGCAUAUGGGACUGAGAAGCCGGGUGACCGCCGUGGCCUGUGCUUUCCGCUGAGGGUCUGACAAGCACGCGACGCUGCUGGGCAUCGCGUUUGAGUCCCGGGAGACCGCCCAGCGGUGCCCAGCGAGACCGCGCCAGACCCUGGCGUCCUCCAUCUUCUCUCCUGCGCUCCCCCUGCUCCAGCUGCCUGAGCCGCGGACCGCAGCACCACACACCCCCGCGGGGGGGGACGCCGCGCCCCAUCCCCGCCCCCGGCCCCACCCCAGCCCCCCCGCGGGGGCCCUGACCCCAUCGCCGGCGGGCACUGGCUGAGCUCCGAGGCGGCGAGCCUGCGGCGGGGACGCCCAGAAGGGGUCCGGGCGGCUGGGGGCGGCGGCGGCCGGGUCGGGGCUCCCCCCCCGCCCGCGCUCGCCGCGGCGGUGGUGCGUCCCGGAGGUUACCGGAAGUGGCCGCGCUCGGCGCUGCCAUGUUGAGGAGCCGCCGCUGCCGCUGCCGCCGCCGCCGCCGCCGCCGCUUUGUUGUCGCCUCCUCCGGCUGAGGAGGCUCCCCGAGCGGGGGGAGUGGGGAGGAGGGGGGUCGGCCGCCGCAGCCAUGGAGGCCAACUGGACCGCGUUCCUGUUCCAGCAAUUAAAAUCUUUUUUUCCACCUGAUGGAGAAGUGUGAAAGCUAAUAUUUGAUCCUGGGCUUGGCAAUGUGUGCAGUGAAAAUUGUUGGAAAAAUAAUUUAGAGCCGAGGACAGUUGAAUGGGUAAAGAGACUAUUUCAGUCUUUUCUAUGGCAAGGCCCAUGAAGCCUCCCAUCACCAACAGCAGGCAGCACCGAACAGCUUGCUGCCCCUCCUGAGCUCGGCUGUGGAGCCCCCUGAUCAG